UACGUAGGGUCCGAGCGUUGUCCGGAAUUAUUGGGCGUAAAGAGCUCGUAGGCGGUUUGUCGCGUCUGCUGUGAAAUCCCGAGGCUCAACCUCGGGUCUGCAGUGGGUACGGGCAGACUAGAGGUCGGUAGGGGAGUGCGGAAUCCUGGUGGAGCGGUGAAAUGCGCAGAUAUCAGGAGGAACACCCGUAGCGAAGGCGGCACUCUGGGCCGAUUCUGACACUGAGGAGCGAAAGCGUGGGAGCGAACAGG
rnacentral:rRNA from 1 species